GAUGAACGCUGGCGGCGUGCCUAAUACAUGCAAGUCGAGCGAACAGACGAGGAGCUUGCUCCUCUGACGUUAGCGGCGGACGGGUGAGUAACACGUGGAUAACCUACCUAUAAGACUGGGAUAACUUCGGGAAACCGGAGCUAAUACCGGAUAAUAUAUUGAACCGCAUGGUUCAAUAGUGAAAGACGGUUUUGCUGUCACUUAUAGAUGGAUCCGCGCCGCAUUAGCUAGUUGGUAAGGUAACGGCUUACCAAGGCAACGAUGCGUAGCCGACCUGAGAGGGUGAUCGGCCCCCCUGGAACUGAGACACGGUCCAGCCUCCUACGGGAGGCAGCAGUAGGGAAUCUUCCGCCAUGGGCGAAAGCCUGACGGAGCAACGCCGCGUGAGUGAUGAAGGUCUUCGGAUCGUAAAACUCUGUUAUUAGGGAAGAACAAAUGUGUAAGUAACUAUGCACGUCUUGACGGUACCUAAUCAGAAAGCCACGGCUAACUACGUG
rnacentral:rRNA from 1 species